rnacentral:rRNA from 1 species
CCUACGGGAGGCAGCAGUGGGGAAUAUUGCACAAUGGGGGGAACCCUGAUGCAGCGACGCCGCGUGAGUGAAGAAGUAUUUCGGUAUGUAAAGCUCUAUCAGCAGGGCGGAAAGUGACGGUACCUGAAAAAGAAGCACCGGCUAAAUACGUGCCAGCAGCCGCGGUAAUACGUAUGGAGCAAGCGUUAUCCGGAUUUACUGGGUGUAAAGGGGGAGUAGGUGGCAGAGCAAGUCCGAAGUGAAAACCCAAAGCUCAACUAUGGGAAUGCUUUAGAUACUGCUCAGCUAGAGUGUGGGAGAGGCAAGGGGAAUUCUUAGUGUAGCGGUGAAAUGCGUAGAUAUUAGGAGGAACACCAGUGGCGAAGGCGGUUUGCUGGACCGUAACUGACACUGAGGCUCGAAAGCGUGGGGAGCAAACGGGAUUAGAUACCCCAGUAGUC